rnacentral:sRNA from 2 species
GUCCAGGCCCGCAGCCCUUUGGCUACUGUCAUUGCUCUGUCAUAUUUUUUGUUUACCUUGUGCCUAUGCCCAUAAUCCUUGAUGCUGCUGCUGCUGCUGCUGCUGCUGCUACUGACAUUGACAUGCACUUUCAUGAUUGAGUGUUAUUUCAGGGACUAUGGAACAGAUUAUGCGUAUCUUAUUUUUGAGAGCUGUGUAGAGCUUAGGGGUGGGUACCAGUGGGUGUUUGUGUUGUGAUGCGAUGUCUGUUGUUUUCUCUUCGCCAGGGCCAAGCAGAAUAGAACAACCCCAUAGCAGGAUGAGAAUGUGGGAAGGGGGGAAGAGAGGAGGACCCAUAUGCCUUUCAUGCAUGAACAUAAGAAUCCCCACCACGGAGAGGACAAGGGCCGAGAACGCAUUUCCGUCAAUAUGAAAUUUCAUGCAUUGAGAAGCAUGGCCGUACAGCGCCCGAUUCCCAAGAACCGUGAAUGUGAUCCCAAUGGCGCUCUGUUUUAAAGGGCAGAAAUGAACAGUUCAUUGGUUAAACACGCCAUAUCCAAAAUGUCUGCAUGCAUACCGAUGAUUGAAAAUAGCUCCAGCGAAAACUCCAAACAGCAUCAAAAAUCAGACAGUCUUCAGUCUCGUUCCCUCUAAUCAGGGAAUCUGCAGCUUUUAACAAAGAAAAUUCCUCAGUCAAACCCAGCACGAAAUUCUAGACAUGUAAAGAAUAGUGAUCACUGUGUAUCUCAAUGGACACGCGGCUCUCAGGGUUAUGUCAAACAUGACAUAACAGCUGAUUUUACAGGCUCUGGUCUGACCCCGGCUCAAUGAGUAUCAUUGGGAGCGGCAAACCAACGGAUUCUGG